UUUUUUAAUUAUAUGGGGGAUUACACAAUCCAUUAGGUGAGCGGGUGUUCCCUGAAGAGCUGGGUUUUUAGCCUUCUCUUAAAGACUGAGAGGGACUCUGUGGAUCGAAUGGAGACACAUUUGAUGACUU